AAAUGCUCCAGGGAGAAAAUCCAACCAAAUCUCUCACCUCUCGGAUCAAGAACGCACCAACAACGCCCAGAGAACCACUCAGACAGAUCGAAAUCGAUCCAAUUCCCCCCAAGAUACCCCCAGAAAGGGCGCACCUUUGGAUCUCCAAUAGAUGCAAAACACCCGUAAAAUGGGAUUAAAUCGAGCCAAAAUCAGCGGGCUCGUCAGCAGCAACAAGACGACGAAAUCACGCGUAAAAACGAGAGCUUUGGCCGCCCAGAGGGGGGAAGAGAAGGAUCGUAAAUAGGAGUAGGCAAAAUUCCCUGUGCAAGAAUGGAUUUUUGUGAGAGAUAGGGAGGAGAGGAUGCGAGGAAGGAGGAGAGGGGGGGAAGACGAUGGCCACAAGAAGCUUGCGACGACGCCGUCGUCCACAAAAACACGCAGAGAAGGGGAGAAAACGCGAGAGUGGAAGGGGGCUAAUACAAAUCAAUCAAUCAUUGCCGCAACCGCAUCUCCUUGAGCUGGAUUUAUAUAUACUUUCUUCUUUUUCUUUCUUUCUUUCUUUUUUUUUUUGCUACUAGUGAGCAACUUUGCUUUGUUUUGUUUUGUGCUGUCCAAGAGGAAACUGGUAAAUGCCAUCUUUUUGUUGCAUACGACGAGGUAACAGUGAACAUUAUGAGAAAUUCAGGAUGCAGAUUUUGUUUUCCAUUACAGAGAAUAAUGUGUUGUUUGUAAUAAAUGGAUAAUAAGUUAAUAGUAUGUAAAAAUGAUGUACUCCCUCCGGUUUCUUUACAGAGGAGAAUGUGAUCUUUUAUUGAAUGGAAUAUAAAUUACUACUAGG
rnacentral:sRNA from 1 species